CCACAGCAAUAAUACUCCCAGUAAUGUGUCUGAGUGUAUAACAGAGCUCCACAGCAAUAAUACUCCCAGUAAUGUGUCUGAGUGUAUAACAGAGCCCCACAGCAAUAAUACUCCCAGUAAUGUGUCUGAGUGUAUAACAGAGCCCCACAGCAAUAAUACUCCCAGUAAUGUGUCUGAGUGUAUAACAGAGCUCCACAGCAAUAAUACUCCCAGUAAUGUGUCUGAGUGUAUAACAGGCUUCACAGCAAUAAUACUCCCAGUAAUGUGUCUGAGUGUAUAACAGAGCUCCACAGCAAUAAUACUCCCAGUAAUGUGUCUGAGUGUAUAACAGAGCUCCACAGUAAUAAUACUCCCAGUAAUGUGUCUGAGUGUAUAACAGAGCCCCACAGCAAUAAUACUCCCAGUAAUGUGUCUGAGUGUAUAACAGAGGUCCACAGCAAUAAUACUCCCAG